GAACUGUUUGCAUACGAAUAUGAAGCUAGAGGAGUGGCUUUAAGCCUAAAAGUACUCUUUCAGAAUGCGGCCGCAACUUUGAAAAAGGCUAAAGAAAGAACAAUCUCCUCAAGUGGUGCUAUGUUGUUAGAAGCUAUUCAGUAUUUAGCUUUUCCCUCUGCUAUUGAGACAAGCCUUGAAGAAUUCCAACAUUGUUGUGAUAAGCUUACUUUUGAACUAAAUAGUUUAAAAGAAUUGUUAGAGGCAGAAGAACUACUUACACUUAGUUUUGCUAAUACCGGAUUUGAAAAUAGUUUUUU